UGGGGAAUAUUGGACAAUGGGCGCAAGCCUGAUCCAGCCAUGCCGCGUGAGUGAUGAAGGCCCUAGGGUUGUAAAGCUCUUUUGUGCGGGAAGAUAAUGACGGUACCGCAAGAAUAAGCCCCGGCUAACUUCGUGCCAGCAGCCGCGGUAAUACGAAGGGGGCUAGCGUUGCUCGGAAUCACUGGGCGUAAAGGGUGCGUAGGCGGGUCUUUAAGUCAGGGGUGAAAUCCUGGAGCUCAACUCCAGAACUGCCUUUGAUACUGAGGAUCUUGAGUUCGGGAGAGGUGAGUGGAACUGCGAGUGUAGAGGUGAAAUUCGUAGAUAUUCGCAAGAACACCAGUGGCGAAGGCGGCUCACUGACCCGAUACUGACGCUGAGGCACGAAAGCGUGGGGAGCAAACA
rnacentral:rRNA from 1 species